rnacentral:tRNA from 1 species
GGGCGUUUGGCAGAACGGCUAUGCACUUGACUUUUAAUCAAGCUCACACAGGUUCGACCCCUGUAGCGCCCACCA